rnacentral:lncRNA from 1 species
ACAACCUUGGAUAUUAGUCCUAGGAAAGCUGUCUGCCUUCUUUUAGGCAGGGUUUCUCAUUCUUGGCUCCAGCUUUGCCAACAGGCCCGUGGUAUGUUGUUUGACAGAGGACAGGUUGGACACUUACAACUCACUUUGCCAUCAUUAUCUAGGUGGGUUUGGGUUGGCUCAGGAAUGGUGAAGAGGGAAGGGCUUAGCUACUAUAUAGACCAAAGAGACAGCAUGAGCAAUCUGGAAAGAAGUUGGGUACAGCUAGCUGGGUUGCUACAGUGACUUCAUCUGGGCCUGGAGCCCGAGGAGGGGCCUUGUAUCCAGUGCUUAUGGUGGGGUGGGUCGGAGUUCACUAUGAUGGAAGUCAUCAUUGAAUCUUUCUAACAAGCAGAGUUGUACUUCUGGGACCCUGCCCAGGUCUGUUUGAUUUGGGACACCAAACUGUUUGUGUAAGAUACUGGGUUUUUCCUGUGGGUGCAGUAUCAUCUGUGACUAGACUUUAAAACCUGCAGCCUCCUCAGAAGUCUAGCAGAACUUUAAUCACUUCAGAAUUUUAGUUUAGCACUUUAGAUUUUAGUUGUGAUAUUUCUUGGAAGUUAUCAGUCUUCUUACAAGCAGCAACUGGUUUGAAUAAAAAACCAAUAACCUUUCUUGGAGUCAUUAGGGAACUGAUUUGCAGGGCUCACUUUCCUCCCAGCACCUGCAGUGGUGAGUUCAGAGUAAGCCAAGACCUGAUAGCUACAGCAGAAGCCAUGACUAGUAGGAAAAGCAGGAGUAACUUUGGGUUUUGUUAUUGGGCUGUGACUGAGGAUAGGGCCUUGAACAUACUAGGCAUAUGAUCUACUACUGAGUUAUAUUGCUAGCUUUUUAUUCUUCAGACAGGGUUGAGUUUGAAUUCAGUGUAACCCAUGCGGGCCUUGAACUUGUGAUCCUUCUGCUUCAGUCUCCAGAGCUUCUGGAAUCACAUGUUUGCAUGACCAAGACUGGCACAUAGCCUUGACGAGUCCUGGAGGCUGACUGUCCACUAGGCACAGUGAGGGCCUGCUUCCUACAAAGGCGGUUCCUUGUUGGUUCUAAUGGUGAGCACUGAGAAGGCUCCUCCUAUAGCCGGGGCAGAAGAAUUUUGUAACAAAAGUAUCGUAGUAAAGCCUUCUACAAAUGAAGAGACUUCACCAAACCUACUUAUUUGGGCAAACAUAUUGCCCCCACCCAGUUUCCUUUUGCCUUCUCUGUCUGCCUUCUUUGUCUGAGGGAGAAGUAGGAAAUUAAGAAACAUAUUCAGGUCAUGGCUUGAGACAGCCUAAGAUCAUAGAAUCCAACCCUCUUUACCUUAUAUUCCCCUAGGGCUCCAGGAUAGAUAGUAAGAGGAUCACAGCUGCAAGAGACUGCAGAGGAGGACCCAGGAACUCCAAGCUUCUGAUAUCUAUUCCUACAGCAAACAGUCCUCACACUAGAGACUUCAGCACCUUAGUUUCUACUCCACACAUAGCCAGUGACUCAAAAUGGUUAGAAGCAUUCUAAAAGGUAAGCAAGUGACACUAGACUCAUGCCGGAAUUACCAGACAGUAAAUUUAACUGCAGGUUAUGCAUUACAGAGACUAAUAUGAAUAAACAAUGUGUAAGAACAGUUGGGUGGCAGGUACUGCUUUGAGUGUUGUGUGCGCUGUUGUUUGUUUAACAAAAUUCCAUUCAAUUUUACCAAUGAAAUCUCGGGAGCCAGAUGCUGGGGUGAAAGCCUGCUGGCUCAGAGAGGCAGAGGAAGCAUGCAGCUGACCUUCCUCCUCAGCCUAUCUCCCAGAAGGAGUGCUCCUCUGUCACACAGUCUCAAAACCUCCUUAAACUGAAUGUCCUUCCCUUCUAUCUUUUGCGUCUUUCUAUCCUCCUGAUUCCCUUUUUAGUGUCUGUGGAUUUCUCUUAAGACUCCUCUAUUCACUUCCUGUCAACUGGCUGCUGCUCCUCUUGAUCUGAGGUCGACUUUAUUUAAUCCUGUAUUUAAUCCUGUUUAAAAUAUUGAAGCAGAGAGCUUGGAUUAAAAGUGUAUGCUAAGGCUGAGCCAUACCACAGCCAAAAAGUUUUUUCCAGUAAACAACACAAUCUUGGGGUU